rnacentral:rRNA from 1 species
AAUACAUGCAAGUCAACUUGACUUUAGAUAGCAAUAUCGAAAAGUAGGGUGGCGCACGGGUGCGUAACGCGUAGGUAAUCUGCCCUGAGGUCUGACAUAACCCGUCGAAAGGCGGGCUAACAUCAGAUGAUAUAUAAUCACGACAUCGUGGAAAUAUCAAAUCUUCGGAGCCUUGGGAUGAGCCUGCGUCUGAUUAGGUAGUUGGCGGAGUAAUAGCCCACCAAGCCUACGAUCAGUAGCUGGUCUGAGAGGAUGAUCAGCCACACUGGAACUGAGACACGGUCCAGACUCCUACGGGAGGCAGCAGUAAGGAAUAUUGCUCAAUGGGGGAAACCCUGAAGCAGCAACGCCGCGUGAAGGAUGAAAUACUUUGUAUGUAAACUUCUGUAAGAUGGGAAAAAUAUUCUCCUCGGGAGAAUUGAUUGUACCAUCAGAGUAAGCCCCGGCUAACUACGUG